rnacentral:rRNA from 1 species
UGCCGGCGACCGGCGGACGGGUGCGUAACGCGUAUGUAACCUACCUUUGACAGGGGGAUAACAUCGAGAAAUUGGUACUAAUACCCCAUAACAUCACCGGAGGCAUCUUCGGUGGUUGAAAACUCAGGUGGUCAGAGAUGGACAUGCGUUGUAUUAGCUAGUUGGUGAGGUAACGGCUCACCAAGGCGACGAUACAUAGGGGGACUGAGAGGUCAACCCCCCACAUUGGUACUGUGACACGGACCAAACUCCUACGGAAGGCAGCAG